AGUGAACGCUGGCGGUAGGCCUAACACAUGCAAGUCGAACGGCAGCACAGUAAGAGCUUGCUCUUACGGGUGGCGAGUGGCGGACGGGUGAGGAAUACAUCGGAAUCUACUUUUUCGUGGGGGAUAACGUAGGGAAACUUACGCUAAUACCGCAUACGACCUACGGGUGAAAGCAGGGGAUCUUCGGACCUUGCGCGAUUGAAUGAGCCGAUGUCGGAUUAGCUAGUUGGCGGGGUAAAGGCCCACCAAGGCGACGAUCCGUAGCUGGUCUGAGAGGAUGAUCACCCACACUGGAACUGUGACACGGUCCAGACUCCUACGGGAGGCAGCAGUGGGGAAUAUUGGACAAUGGGCGCAAGCCUGAUCCAGCCAUACCGCGUGGGUGAAGAAGGCCUUCGGGUUGUAAAGCCCUUUUGUUGGGAAAGAAAAGCAGCAGGUUAAUACCCCGCUGUUCUGACGGUACCCAAAGAAUAAGCACCGGCUAACUUCGUG
rnacentral:rRNA from 1 species